UAAUACGUAGGGAGCAAGCGUUGUCCGGAAUCAUUGGGCGUAAAGCGCGCGUAGGCGGCCCGGUAAGUCCGUUGUAAAAGUCGAAGGCUCAACCUUCGAAAGCCGAUGGAUACUGCCGGGCUAGAGUUCGGAAGAGGCGAGUGGAAUUCCUGGUGUAGCGGUGGAAUGCGCAGAUAUCAGGAGGAACACCUAUAGCGAAGGCAGCUCGCUGGUACGACACUGACGCUAAGGCGCGAAAGCGUGGGGAGCGAACAGGAUUAGAUACCCUGGUAGUCCACGCCGUAAACGAUGGGUACUAGGUGUGGGAGGUGUCGACUCCUCCCGUGCCGACGCUAACGCAUUAAGUACCCCGCCUGGGGAGUACGGCCGCAAGGCUA
rnacentral:rRNA from 1 species